GGCAGCAGUAGGGAAUAUUGGGCAAUGGUCGAGAGACUGACCCAGCCAUGCCGCGUGAAGGAAGAAGGCUUUCUGAAUUGUAAACUUCUUUUAUCUGGGAAAAAACGACCCUUGCGAGGGGCACUGAUGGUACCAGAUGAAUAAGCACCGGCUAACUCCGUGCCAGCAGCCGCGGUAAUACGGAGGGUGCAAGCGUUGUCCGGAUUUAUUGGGUUUAAAGGGUGCGUAGGCGGUUUUAUAAGUCAGUGUUUAAAGUCUGCAGCUUAACUGUAGAAGUGGCAUUGAUACUGUAGAACUUGAGUAAAGUUGAGGUAGGCGGAAUUGAUGGUGUAGCGGUGAAAUGCAUAGAUAUCAUCAAGAACAUCGAUUGCGAAGGCAGCUUACUAAGCUUUAACUGACGCUGAGGCACGAAAGCGUGGGGAUCAAACAGGAUUAGAUACCCUGGUAGCCCACACUGUAAACGUUGAUGACUCGAUGUUAGCGAUACACAGUUAGCGUCUUAGAGAAAUCGUUAAGUCAUCCACCUGGGGAGUACGCCGGCAACGGUGAAACUCAAAGGAAU
rnacentral:rRNA from 1 species